rnacentral:rRNA from 1 species
AUUAGAUACCCCAUUAAUAUUAUAUUAUAUUUUAUCUUAGUUUUAUAACUAAAAUAGUUUGGCAGCGAGCGAAUCCGUUCAGGGGAAGGUGUGUUAUAAAGGACGAUCCGCCUAUUAAUUUACUUAUUUUAUGUUGGUGUAUAUCUGGUUUGAUAUUAUUGCUUUAAUAGCCUAAUUUGUGUAUAUUGAUUAUUUAAACCAAGUUUAUGUGCUGCUUAUUUAAGUUUUUAUGCGUUACAUUUAUAAAUUUAAAUUUGUUAUAGUUUAAUAUUUAGGACUUGAUAGUAGUGUAGAUUUAUUGUGUCUAUG